rnacentral:rRNA from 1 species
UACGGAGGGUGCGAGCGUUGUCCGGAAUCAUUGGGCGUAAAGGGCGCGUAGGUGGCUUCUUAAGCGUGCGGUGAAAGCCUGGGGCUCAACCCCGGGUCGGCCGUGCGAACUGGGGGGCUGGAGCACUGUAGAGGCAGGCGGAAUUCCGGGUGUAGCGGUGGAAUGCGUAGAGAUCCGGAAGAACACCGGUGGCGAAGGCGGCCUGCUGGGCAGUUGCCGACACUGAGGCGCGACAGCGUGGGGAGCAAACAGG